CAAUUUUCCUGGAAUGUCUGUCUGAAUCAGACACUGAAUUUCACAGACCAGCAUAAACACAGGUAUUCUAGUUUUUCUUUCGGGAUCAAUUCACAGCACAACCUCUGCAGGAUCUGUUUUGGAAUUCCUGCAUCAUAACCUGCUUUGUUUCAAGAAGCCUUUGUAAUAGCAGAACAAUUAGCCUCAGUGUUUUCAUACUGCAACAUUGUCAGCCCAAGAGAGGAAGAUACACAAUGCAAAUGAUGACCUGAGGACUCGAGAAUUUAAUAAGCAAAAACACCACAUGCAAACUCUGGUGGGUAGAGAUUCCUCUAAUAUGCAUGAGUGUUGGUUUUAGACUGAGAUGGAGUGAUCUUGCUAAAAUAAAUCGUUGCGUAAUGGCGGAGCAUCCCUCCCUUACCUGUCGGACUCGGAUGGCCCGGCUCUGGGCUGGCCUGUGCCGUGUCCGCCCGCCGCUCUGACCCUGCAGCUAUGGACAUGCAGAAACACCCUGGAAGAAAGCCAGCGCUCUGGUUUUUAGCCAGAAUCAAAGCAUGCGUCUGUAUGACACAAGCAUUUGUGCUGCACGAUAAUGGUGUUUGUGGCAUCUAAUAAACUCAUUGUCUGGUUCA